rnacentral:rRNA from 1 species
AGAUUGAACGCUAGCGGGAUGCUUUACACAUGCAAGUCGAACGGCAGCGCGGACUUCGGUCUGGCGGCGAGUGGCGAACGGGUGAGUAAUAUAUCGGAACGUGCCCAGUAGCGGGGGAUAACUACGCGAAAGCGUGGCUAAUACCGCAUACGCCCGUACGGGGGGAAGGGGGGGAUUCUUCGGAACCUCUCACUAUUGGAGCGGCCGAUAUCAGAUUAGCUAGUUGGUGAGGUAAAGGCUCACAACGGCGACGAUCUGUAGCUGGUUGAGAGGACGACCAGCCACACUGGACUGACGACACGGGUCCCAGACCGUCCUAGGGGACGGCAGACGAGGUCGGGGUAAA